CAGCUGCGAGACUUGGUGUGAAUUGCAGGACACAUUGAGCACUGAUUUUUCGAACGCGCAUUGCGGCCUCGGGUCUCGCCCGGGGCCUCGCCUGUCUGAGGGUCGGAUGCGACAUACCGAGAGGCGAACUCUCCCCCCCCGGCUUCCCCGAUCGUAGUUUCGGAGGAGCGGCCGGUGGGCUAGAGGGGAGCGAGCCUCGCGUGGCCGUUUCGGAGCGUGUUCGCUCCGUCGGCUCCAGUCUUGGUUCCGUGCUGAUUGGGAAGACCUCCCUCGGCGCCGAUCUCGACGUGGCCGUGGGAAAGGCGAAUAUACGUUCUUUCGAUACCGCGGGCGUUUCGAGAAGCCGCGUGGAGCGUCUUCGUGUUUUACCUGUCGACCUCAGAUCAGACGAGACGACCCGCUGAAUUUAA
rnacentral:rRNA from 1 species